rnacentral:rRNA from 1 species
AUUGAACGCUGGCGGCAUGCCUAACACAUGCAAGUCGAACGAGUGGCGGACGGGUGAGUAAUGUCUGGUAAACUGCCCGAUGGAGGGGGAUCACUACUUGAAACCGUAGCUAAUUCCGCAUACCAUCGUAUGUGCCCAGAUGGGAUUAGCUAGUGGGUGGGGUAACGGCUCACCAAGGCGACGAUCCCUAGCUGGUCUGAGAGGAUGACCAGCAAGACUGGAACUGGGAAACGGCCCAGACUCCUACGGGAGGCAGCAGUGGGGAAUAUUGCACAAUGGGGGCAGGCCUGCUGAAGCCAGGCCGCGUGUAUGAGACAGGCCUUAGGUUUGUAAAGUACUUUCAGCGAGGAGGCGUUACUCGAAGAAGAAGCACCGGCUAACUCCGUGCCAGCCGCCGCGGUAAUAC